rnacentral:lncRNA from 1 species
CGUUCCUUGCACCACAGAGAGCACCUUGCAAGCUUCUCACCACCCAAAUCCUGCCAGUUGUGCCCAAUAUUGUGACAAAACAGUUAGAGAAUGCAUCUGUGAAGAUACCACUGCAAGAGGUUUUUUUUUUUUUCAGAUUAAUAAAGAUGCAUGAAGAGGAGGUCAUGUGGUUAAACCGGCUUAAUACAGAGGCUACAACUGUCAUGAAGUCCCAGCUAUAUGAAGGGAGACUGGAAGUUCAAAUGGUGUUAGUGCAUACUUCUCUUCUUGGUUUCCAGUUUCAAGUUCAAAGUGACUACUUAAAAGUGCAGUUGGUGACACAAGUUGUUGGCCAGUACAGUACAAGCCACGUAUGCUGAUGGUUCUGAAGAAGAGACACGACAUCAAAGGUAAGACUGCAGUACUAAUCCUGGACUAUGACUGCCAUUGAAGGUUGUCAGUUAUGUAUUUCAAGAAUGAAAUUCCUAAAUUCCUAUUAGAAUAAAUACGUGUGUGUGUGUGUGUGUGUUGGAGGAGUACUUAGAGAAAAGAAAAAAAAAAAAAGGAAGGAAAAUGAGUCCAUUGUCUCUGUUGUUUCAAUGAAAUGAUUAGAAUCUUUAUUAAUUUUGAUUAGAAGAAAAUUCAAUACUUUUCCCGUCUGUUGGAUAAAUGCUAUUUUUGCAAGCAAGUCUGUACUUAGCAGUUUGAAUCAAUGAGACUGAAACUAUUCUGUGGAACAUGUAUUUAAAAAAAAAAAAAAAAAAGACUGUUAAUUUUGUUUAACAAAAAGUGGAACACCCCCUGACUCAAAGGAAUGAUCUCAAAUGAACAGGAUAAAGCCCAUUACUGUCACAGUGGAAAUUUCUUUUGACUUUUCUGACAGGAGGAUCCUAUCCAUAGUGAAAUCAAAGUAGUAAUCAAAUCAAGACAGAUUAAGUUUCCACCAAGUCAUGCUGGGAAAAAAAGCUCCAUUCUGCUUGAAAGAAACAUAAAUGAACAGAAACUUUUUCUUUCCCUCAGCUCUUAUCAUACAUGGAUUCUGACCUUUGGGAGCCUUGCUAGCUGUCUCUGAUCAGGAUACAACAGCUCAGCAACUAUGACUUAAAAUUUC